UGACAUUCAAUGAGUAGAUAAUGGGGGAUUAGGGGCUUAAUCGGUUGCUGUGUAUCUUCCUCUCCCCACGUUUAACAGGGUAGUAUGUUGUAAGUCUUACAUUCGUGCCCUCAGGUAGGAGGUAAUCGGUGUCCCUAAGAUUGGACCCACAGAAACUGUACGUGCGAGAUUACAAACACAACUGAAAAAUAUGCAAUGAACGGUUAAACUGUAAACAUGCUGUUCCGUAACAUAGGGUAAUAUGAUGGGGGUAUGAACCUCCGGCUAUAGAGCCUCGAAAUAUUACAGUUAUUAAUGAAUAUUGAUAUACGAAUUAUAGCAGCACAGGGUUUUAUAUUAGUCGGUCGAGGGCCGACUAUGGCACAGCAGCGAUAUGUCCCUCAGUCCACGGGUCUCCAGCUCUCUCCCCCAGGCAGGUCUCAGCCCGCCAGUUGGACUCUCCUUGACUCUGUGGGCACUCAGAAGCAGGUCUAGUCCGCAUGACCCCCACACCUAGAGUCUGCGAACCGUCUGCCUCCUGCACCUCCCCAAAACCUCUCAAGUCUCCGUGGAGCGUGUGCCCCCAUGUCUCUCCUGGCGCCGGCCACACUCUUGGGGGUGGUGCACGCCAGUCUCGGCCACCGGUCCGCCGGGAGGCCCGCC